UCUGAGAUUUUGUGUGUUUGUGUAGUUAAACACUACAGAAACACCCCAAAUCUCAGAAAGCUGCACAAAUAUUUUAUUUUAUUAUUUUAUUUUAUUGUGGACUUCAAAUCCCAGAGUUCCUCAGCCAGCAAAGCAGGAAGUCAAAGCAAGCUUUUUUUUUUCUUCAGUAGCUGAAGAAAACAUGGCGUUGCCAGCCCAAAAGAGCAGUAAUUAUAGCAAGCACAGAAAGAACCGAGCAGCCUUUUGGAAACGGUGAUAUAUCCCUCAAUUUGGAUUGCUCCAGGGCACCGUAGUUCAAAGGCAGAGAGCAAGUGAAACUUGGCAGGCUGAUCCGGAGCAACCUUGAAAAACGGCUCCUGUACAUUAACUCAGCCUUAUCCAAAAAAAAAAAAAAGGGGGGGGGGUGUAAAAAGAGAGCAGCUGGCAUUUAAAGCGUGCGGUUCCCACACCGGAGUUCAAAAAGCAAGAGUUUACUCACAGGGGUCCUCCCGGGGAGGCAGCGAUUUAGGAGAGGAAAUUCCAGCGCCACCUCAGGCGCUGUGCCGGAGAAAGAGACCUCGGGGGGGUCAGGAACAGGCAAGGCCCCUGGAAUUACGAGAAGCCCCGGGACUCGUGCUUGUGCAUGCUGAACGGUAAGGGAUGAAAAGGCAGCUCACUUCCAUCAGCCACUUGGCUUUAUCCUCUCCGCGGCAAGUCUACCACCUGGCUGGGAUAAGCAGAGAAACGCUCCAACCGACAGCCCAAACAAAAAAAGAAAGAAAAGAAAAGAAGAGAAAAGGAGGGAAGCUCUCGUUCGUUCGUUCGUUCUCUCUCUCUCUCCCCUAAGCUCGGCUGCUGGGGCUAACGCUCCUUUUUCAGGCAGGCGUGUGUGUGUUAGGCUGGGCGGGGCUCUGGCAGCCCCGGGAGAUGGAAUCGCACAGGCUUACUUUGUUUGAAUGCUUUCGGAGGAAGGAACAGGUGAUUCGCUUUUGAUGUAAUCCGGUGAUUCUCAAGCCGGCGCUCCACGUUGUACCCGGAAUCAUGCCUGCGUUCCCCCCCCCCCCACGCCCCCAAGGAUAAAGCCGCCUUCCUUGGGCCAGAGUAUUACCCGCGCAGGGGAGCAGCGCACGUUUUCCGAAAAGAGCCACCUCGAGCAAGACUUUCUACUUCUCUGGAGGGAAAAUCGUCCAGCAGUUAAGAAAAGAAAGGGGUACACAGGGGCAGUAGCCAUACAGUACAUUGCAAUCAAGAGGAGAUUAAAGCCUGGAUGAUUGUGAACAGUCUCAUGUUCUAGGAACGGUUAUAACUGGCAUGUUGGAUACAACUGGGUGAGGUUCUCCUGGCUACAGCUACCACCGGAACUAAAACUGGAGUUGGGUGACUUACCAAUCCAAAGUCACUCCAUCAUUUCCUCUUUAUCUUUUUGCCAUGGUGCAGCCAUGAAUAUGGGCUGGAAUAUCUGGAUUGCAUGCCCCAAAUUCAGAUAUUCAGUCUGAAUGUCUUCAAAAGAACUCAAUAAUAUACAUGGUUCCUUUUUUUUUUUUAGCCUGCAGAAACACUGGAGUGAGGAUUGAGUCCUCUUUUGUUUCUGAGUCUGAUCAGGUACUUAGGCAUCCUUGGUUUGGAUUCCACAAUGUGGUCAUGAUAUUGCAUACAUCCUGAGCUGAAGAAGCUUCUUGGACGAGAAGCGAAAGGUCUUCAAAGAAAAACCAGAAAGUCCAGUUGCCUCUUGAAAAAAGCACCAUGGAGACAACGAUGACCUGGAUGACUUAAGAAUCUCCAUAGACAUUCGAUAUUGCAUACACUGUCAAGGUACAUGCAGUUCACAGUCCAUCUGUAAUGAGUACUUCCUCUAACCUGCAUCUUAGGUUGAGCCUGAUCCUAGCACUGCUGAAAACUGGACAGUGAGCUGAACUGAUUGUAGUUUAAACUAUUUGAUCCCUGACAUUGUGGUUUGUAAGGCAUGAUUUAGCUUUGCAAACCUAUAUAGUUGUAUUUUAUUUAAUAAAUCAUUGUUAACUAUAGAGUAAUAUAAAAGGUAAAGCUAACCACAAGCUGUUAUAGUUCUUAUAUUGUACAGUGCCACAUGUGAUCAUCCUUGUAAAUUUGGAUUUUUUUAUUAUUGUAAUUGAGAAGGCUAUCUUUUCUCCAAUAUGCGGUCUUUAUUAUUUUUCCUUUAGCUUUUAAUUUAUUUUUUAUCAUUUUGCUGUUUUUAAACUCUGGCAUGUACAGUAAAUCAUUUGGAGAUACUCUAGUGACAGGCAGCAUCCAAGUUAAUAGAUUGUAAAUAAAAAAAGUGGAGGGGGGGGAGAAAGAAAGUAGGGAGAUAGCUAGAAGGCUUUUUCACUGCAUUGUCUUAACCAAAUCCAAGAAUUUUGUGCUUAGCUAACUGGAAAUCAAGUCUGAUAAGGUCUUGUAAAACCUGUAUGUUUAUAAUCAAAAAUAGGAAUACUUCUAUUCAGAUUCUAACACAGCCACAGUCUGUCCUUCAUCACAGGCAUCAUCUGAAACAAUUGUGUUUAUAAAUGGAUUAGCAAUAUUUCCUUUUUUGAAAAGAGACACAGAACAUUUUAACAGAAUGUUUAAUCUCACGAUACAUCUAGUCAACAUAUUCAGCGUCAUUUAUUACUGGGAAAUGGGGGGGAAAAAACCCAAGAGCUUCUCACCAUAUGUGUGCACGUUAACACAUUUUUAAAAACUCUAAAUCAAAGGUAGGGAGUUUGGGGGUUCUGAUUUCUACAGAAGAGACCCCACUUUUAAACCUUUCAGUCAAACCAUAGUUUAAUGAUAUAGAACAGGGGUCUCUAACCUUGGCAACUUUUAAGACUUGUGGACUUCAACUCCCAGAAUUGAAGUGGCUUUGCUGGCUGAGGAAUUCUGGGGGUUGAAGUCCACAAGUCUUAAAGUUGCCAAGGUUGGAGACCCCCUGAUAUAGAAGACUCCAUAUGCGGAAGCUUCCCAUCCAUAUGUUGCCUUUGGUCUGUCUACAGAUUGAGCAGGCGCAGCUUGGCCGAAGUUGUCCCUCCAGAGUUGUGCUCCUUCUGUUUCUCUUUUAAUUCUAUUCAUUGCUUUUUUAUUGCAAACUAUAUUGUAAUGUAUAUCUAAGCAUAAAUGCUAACAUAUCUAUUCUUUUCUCUUUCUUUCAUUUGCAUUUAUAAGUGUUUUAGGUAAUUGGGAAAUGAGCACCUUAAGCCUGUAGGCUUUUCUGGAGGAACUCUAAAUGGUAAUAUAAAUUAUUGCAAUAUGUGAAGCGCGUUUAUCUGCAUUGGGACUCCUCUGCUUAUAUUGCUGAGUAGGGCUUCUAUCACGAGAAGUGACACCACUGUGGCCCCUCUAAUGAUUCUCGACCAGAGUCUUCAUUGUGUCAGGUGCUCCCGAGUAGUCAUUCGAGGUUGUAUAAUUUUCCCAGAAUACUUCUUCUCAUUUGGGAGACAAAAAUGCUUGGCAAAGAGGGCCUUAUUGGGCCUCUGAGUAUCUAACACUUGUGGGAAGAUGUGUGGUGUCUGCAGAGAAGUAAAAAUGUGAACAAGGUAGCACACCAAAUGAUUGAAACUCCAUCCUUAUUUUGGAUGUGAAAAAAAAGAGAGAGCAGGUUUUGGGUCAUAAAUGUACACUUCUUGACAUUUUUUACACACACACAUACCAAGGGUCCUAAAAGAAUACAAAAAGCUGAUACUGGUCAUCAUCAUCAUCAUUUUAGCCAUUGUCUAUUCACUGCAGGUUGAAGGCCUCUUCUGCAUGUUUCUAACCAAUACGGUCCUGAGCUUUCUUUUGCCAAUUGGGCCAACAAUACUUGCUGAUAUCAUUGACCCAUCUUGCUUUGGGUAUCUUCAGUGGAUGCUUUUUAUCAAAUGGGAUCCAUUUGAUAGAAAGCAUCCACAAAAGAGACCUAAAACAAGAUGGAUCCAUUUUAUGGCUGCCUUGAUCCACCUGCCAUCAGUUCUUCUUGCUAUAGUCUGGCCUUGUUCUGAACAUAAUUUCUAUGUGAUGUUGUCUUUCUAAAACUCAGGCUCUUUUUCAAUGACUGCAUGUGUGAAAGUGUUAGAAAAAGUAGAAAGGCACUACAACUAGUACAAAAUCUUACCCAAAGAGACAUGGAAUCUAUUUCAGGUCAAUCAUUUGCUUUCAAAUGCAUGCUGAGAAAUAAUAUGCCAGC